AUUGAACGCUGGCGGCAGGCCUAACACAUGCAAGUCGAGCGGAUGAAGGGAGCUUGCUCCUGGAUUCAGCGGCGGACGGGUGAGUAAUGCCUAGGAAUCUGCCUGGUAGUGGGGGAUAACGUCCGGAAACGGGCGCUAAUACCGCAUACGUCCUGAGGGAGAAAGUGGGGGAUCUUCGGACCUCACGCUAUCAGAUGAGCCUAGGUCGGAUUAGCUAGUUGGUGGGGUAAAGGCCUACCAAGGCGACGAUCCGUAACUGGUCUGAGAGGAUGAUCAGUCACACUGGAACUGAGACACGGUCCAGACCCCUACAGGAGGCAGCAGUGGGGAAUAUUGGACAAAGGGCGAAAGCCUGAUCCAGCCAUGCCGCGUGUGUGAAGAAGGUCUUCGGAUUGUAAAGCACUUUAAGUUGGGAGGAAGGGCAGUAAGUUAAUACCUUGCUGUUUUGACGUUACCAACAGAAUAAGCACCGGCUAACUUCGUG
rnacentral:rRNA from 1 species